CGCUAGCUACAGGCUUAACACAUGCAAGUCGAGGGGCAGCAUGGUCUUAGCUUGCUAAGGCUGAUGGCGACCGGCGCACGGGUGAGUAACACGUAUCCAACCUGCCGUCUACUCUUGGCCAGCCUUCUGAAAGGAAGAUUAAUCCAGGAUGGGAUCAUGAGUUCACAUGUCCGCAUGAUUAAAGGUAUUUUCCGGUAGACGAUGGGGAUGCGUUCCAUUAGAUAGUAGGCGGGGUAACGGCCCACCUAGUCAACGAUGGAUAGGGGUUCUGAGAGGAAGGUCCCCCACAUUGGAACUGAGACACGGUCCAAACUCCUACGGGAGGCAGCAGUGAGGAAUAUUGGUCAAUGGGCGAUGGCCUGAACCAGCCAAGUAGCGUGAAGGAUGACGG
rnacentral:rRNA from 1 species